rnacentral:rRNA from 1 species
UACGUAGGGUGCAAGCGUUUAAUCGGAAUUACUGGGCGUAAAGCGUGCGCAGGCGGUUUUGUAAGUCUGUCGUGAAAUCCCCCGGGCUCAACCUGGGAAUUGCGAUGGAGACUGCAAGGCUAGAAUCUGGCAGAGGGGGGUAGAAUUCCACGUGUAGCAGUGAAAUGCGUAGAGAUGUGGAGGAACACCGAUGGCGAAGGCAGCCCCCUGGGUCAAGAUUGACGCUCAUGCACGAAAGCGUGGGGAGCAAACAGG